rnacentral:misc_RNA from 1 species
UCUGCUGGUAUGCCUGACAGCUCUGCCAGAUAUAAGGGCGUGUGAUGAGGCAUAAAUAGCAAAGGUAAAAAUACUUCAGUUAAAAUGCAUACAAAAAAGAUGCAGUGACAAGACAGGCUACUUUAUUCUAGCAAGAAAGUUCCACAUAACUUUUCUAAAGUUGAAAGGGCAUGAUAGUUAUACCGAAUCGGAUCCUUCUUUCCAUCAUGCCUGUCUCCCAAUUAAAUGCACCAAUAUGUGAUGGGAAUGUCAAUCAACAACUUACCUUGAGGUUUAAAAUUAAAUAGUG